rnacentral:lncRNA from 1 species
AAGAUCUUACUGUUUGACUAUAUACUCUGAUGCUAAUAAGUGUUAUGUCCAGUAAAGUUAAGUGCAAGAGUGUGUCAACAAUUAAAAAAAAAGUAUUAUUGUCUUUAGGUUUGGGUGAUGGUCCAAUGAAGUUAAGUACAUCCAGAUGGCUGAGAUGGCCAUUAUAGGAAGUCAUAAAGAUGAGACAGCCUUACAGCAGAACCGAAUUCCGUGUCCCUACACCUGUUAUUUCGUUUUAUUAGUUUUUAAUUUUAUUUUUUAUCUUGUUUUAUGUUUUCAUGAUAUUCAGUUUGGCUGCCCCUCACUUUGGCCGGCCAUAUGCGAUGCACGCCUUGCACCUAUGGCAGGCCAAGCCCUGGAUAUCCCUAAUUAAAAGUUGACAAAAGAGCCCCAGUAUAAUAAAGAAAUUUAUUAAGAAUUAUUGGACUCAGCCGAUUGCGGCCGAGUCCGUCAAUUUUAAAUUAAAUAUAUUCUGAAAUUGGAAAUUUGCC